CAUUGCGUUCACGGCACUCAUUUAAUCGAACACUAAAAUUAUUUAUGACAGCUCGGCAGGUAGACACAGUGAUGGCUGCCAUUUCGUGUCGGAUAUUUUCUUUUAAAUGCACUAGAGAAGUUGGUUUUUUGGCAUACGCUUUAGAUUUAAGAUACCCCCACAAGAAAAAGUCCAUGGGAGUUAAAUCAGGGCUGCGUGGAGGCCAAUUAUUAUCACCUUUCCUAGAGAUCAAUUUUCCCGAAAAAAUUUCAUGAAUUAGAGGUAAAGACAUAUUGGAUGUGUGUGAUGUAGCUCCGUCUUGCUGCAACCAUGUUCUCUGGUUAUAGCCAGGAAAGUUUUGCAGUGCAGGCACUAAAAACUCGUCUACCAUCGCUCUGAAUUUACUGUAACUGCACGCCCCCUUUCGUCUUCGAAAAAAUCACUUAUAACAGAAACGAAACUGUCAGCACAACUUCGUCCUCUGCGGAAUCCAUAUUGAACAUAAGGGAUAACACUGUUCGAUUCUGCGUACCAAUCAAGAUGCUGUUCCGCCAGGGAGCUGGUGGUCAACUCCUGAAGUUGGUCCUGGUGAAUCUAGGAAUUACAAUUUCUUUGAGUUUAUCAAGCCGAUUACAGAACUCCUCAUAAGAUUUCAUCGGGUUCUCUGCACUGACUAUCAUGUCUUGGAAGACUGAUUAUGAGAUGUUGCUGUGAUUGAGAAAAUAAGUAGCGGUAUUGUGCUGAUUGAAGGUAACAACUAUUUUAUUCGCGCUAAUACGUCUCAGUGCCAACUGCCACUAUACCUUUAAUAUUAAAUAUGUGAUUUAAAUA